rnacentral:pre_miRNA from 1 species
UGCGGUAUACUGAUGAGUCCCACGAGAACGAAACGCGUCUAUACCUGGU